rnacentral:ncRNA from 1 species
AGGGAAGCGGAGUGAAAUGCUCCCGCCGCCCCGCGACUGUAACGAGGACGAAAGCCCAGCGAACGCCACUGACUUUUUUUGAAAAAGUUGGGAAGGAGGGCCAGUAGGACGAUUCGGAGCCAGGAUAUCU